GAAUCUAAUUGAACGGGUACACAAGUACAUUAGGUAUAAUAUUAUGCGUUUUAAAUUUAUGUCGUAAAUCAUAAUAAAUAUUGAAAAUAUUCUGUCAUUCUGUCAUGCCCCCCCCCCCCCCGCCAAACGUUAGACCACGACGACUAUUUUAAGUAUACAGGUACUAUGCGAUUGUUCAAAUUCGUGUCGUUUUCGUUAUCGGCUAUAGCGAUUUUACGUGUUGGACUCACAGACAUUGGAGAAUAAUAUCUAUGGUCGGAUAGUGCUAAUGUCCUCUCCCUCUCCAGUCGGACGUGAUAUCGGCCCACGUUCGACACGGUCCGUCGUCUUUUUGUGCGUGUGCCGGCGCGAAGCAGCUCUUGUCUCGUCUCGUCCGCGGUCCGUCGUGGGUGCCGUCGACGUUCUUACCGUUCGUGUGAUGCCGACUGCCGUGCGUGCAAAACGUCGUGGUCGUCGCGACGUUCCGCGAUCGGUGCGCGGCGCGAGGACCGGCGACGUUUUAUUUCUCGUUCUGGUCUUGUAACCGUUGUCGUCGAUAGUAAUGAUCGUUUCCCGUUGCUGCACGGGUUUAUUGAUAAAACGGCAACGAGAUAUUAUAAUAUUCUGCCGGUGAUUUAUCGAUCGUGUUAUUACGCGCGGUCAAUACCGGAGUAGAUCGAUCUUUCCAGUGCAGAUUUGUCUACGUUAUUUUUGAAUUCUGAAGACAGGUUUUUGGGAAGCCACAGUGCGUUUAAUCAAUAAACAAUAUACUGUCCCAGGCAAUGAGGUGUCACCAUCCAACAUUGGAAGAACUGUCCACUGUACUGUGGUGAACGGAAGCUGAUCUCAAUUCACGACCGCUUUACCAAUUGCAUUGUCUUUAUUGGACUUGAAUUAUUUGACAUCAGUUUACACUCGAUUUCCAGCGUGUCAAGAAAGACAGCAGGUAUGGAUUAAUUGUUGUAAAUUAACAAACGAAGAAAUUUUACCAAACCAGAAAAUAUGCUCAUUGCAUUUCGAGCCAACUUGUUACAAAUUCACUGAAAAGAGGUGGAUACUUUACCCGAACGCCAAACUAACAAUUUUCAUAAAAGGAAAACCUGUUCCAAAACCCACUAAUCAGGCAUAAAUUAUGUCACUGGCGAAUGUAUAGAACAGUUUCGGAAACUUCAUUGUAGGAAAAAAUUACAACUAAUAGUUGAAUCAUUUUAAACAAUCUAAUUGUAUAAAAUCUAAUAAAUACUAAAAAAAAAAAAUUUUAUAACACUGUUAUAAGUGAUCAAUAUCAUAUAAUACAAUACUUAAUAUGCUUCAAUUUAAUUAUUAA